rnacentral:rRNA from 1 species
AGAGUUUGAUCCUGGCUCAGGAUGAACGCUGGCGGCGUGCCUAAUACAUGCAAGUCGAGCGAACAGAUAAGGAGCUUGCUCCUUUGAAGUUAGCGGCGGACGGGUGAGUAACACGUGGGUAACCUACCUAUAAGACUGGGAUAACUUCGGGAAACCGGAGCUAAUACCGGAUAACAUUUAGAACCGUAUGGUUCUAAAGUGAAAGAUGGUUUUGCUAUCACUUAUAGAUGGACCCGCGCCGUAUUAGCUAGUUGGUAAGGUAACGGCUUACCAAGGCGACGAUACGUAGCCGACCUGAGAGGGUGAUCGGCCACACUGGAACUGAGACACGGUCCAGACUCCUACGGGAGACAGCAGUAGGGAAUCUUCCGCAAUGGGCGAAAGCCUGACGGAGCAACGCCGCGUGAGUGAUGAAGGGUUUCGGCUCGUAAAACUCUGUUAUUAGGGAAGAACAAAUGUGUAAGUAACUGUGCACAUCUUGACGGUACCUAAUCAGAAAGCCACGGCUAACUACGUG